rnacentral:rRNA from 1 species
GGCGAACGCUGGCGGCAGGCCUAACACAUGCAAGUCGAACGAACUCUUCGGAGUUAGUGGCGGACGGGUGAGUAACACGUGGGAACGUGCCUUUUGGUUCGGAAUAACUCAGGGAAACUUGUGCUAAUACCGAAUGUGCCCUUCGGGGGAAAGAUUUAUCGCCAUUAGAGCGGCCCGCGUCUGAUUAGCUAGUUGGUGAGGUAACGGCUCACCAAGGCGACGAUCAGUAGCUGGUCUGAGAGGAUGACCAGCCACACUGGGACUGAGACACGGCCCAGACUCCUACGGGAGGCAGCAGUGGGGAAUCUUGCGCAAUGGGCGAAAGCCUGACGCAGCCAUGCCGGGUGAAUGAUGAAGGUCUUAGGAUUGUAAAAUUCUUUCACCGGGGACGAUAAUGACGGUACCCGGAGAAGAAGCCCCGGCUAACUUCGUG